rnacentral:rRNA from 1 species
GAUGAACGCUGGCGGCGUGCCUAAUACAUGCAAGUCGAACGAAACUUCUUUAUCACCGAGUGCUUGCACUCACCGAUAAAGAGUUGAGUGGCGAACGGGUGAGUAACACGUGGGCAACCUGCCCAAAAGAGGGGGAUAACACUUGGAAACAGGUGCUAAUACCGCAUAACCAUAGUUACCGCAUGGUAACUAUGUAAAAGGUGGCUAUACUACCGCUUUUGGAUGGGCCCGCGGCGCAUUAGCUAGUUGGUAGGGUAAAGGCUUACCAAGGCAAUGAUGCGUAGCCGAAUUGAGAGGUUGAUCGGCCACAUUGGGACUGAGACACGGCCCAAACUCCUACGGGAGGCAGCAGUAGGGAAUCUUCCACAAUGGGCGAAAGCCUGAUGGAGCAACGCCGCGUGGGUGAAGAAGGUCUUCGGAUCGUAAAACCCUGUUGUUAGAGAAGAAAGUGCGUGAGAGUAACUGUUCACGUUUCGACGGUAUCUAACCAGAAAGCCACAGCUAACUACGUG